AUUGAACGCUGGCGGCAUGCCUUACACAUGCAAGUCGAACGGUAACAGGCCGCAAGAUGCUGACGAGUGGCGAACGGGUGAGUAAUACAUCGGAACGUGCCCGAUCGUGGGGGAUAACGCAGCGAAAGCUGUGCUAAUACCGCAUACGAUCUACGGAUGAAAGCGGGGGAUCGCAAGACCUCGCGCGGACGGAGCGGCCGAUGGCAGAUUAGGUAGUUGGUGGGGUAAAGGCCUACCAAGCCGACGAUCUGUAGCUGGUCUGAGAGGACGACCAGCCACCCGGGGACUGAGAACCGGCCCAGACUCCUACGGGAGACAGAAGUGGGGAAUUUUGGACAAUGGGCGCAAGCCUGAUCCAGCCAUGCCGCGUGCAGGAUGAAGGCCUUCGGGUUGUAAACUGCUUUUGUACGGAACGAAAAGGUUUCUUUUAAUACAGGGAACUGAUGACGGUACCGUAAGAAUAAGCACCGGCUAACUACGUGCCAGCCGCCGCCGUAACAC
rnacentral:rRNA from 1 species